AUCGCUUCUCGGCACUAUGUGCUAAGAUCAAAAGUGUAGUAUCUUUUCUUAUCAGCUUAAUAUCUGAUACAACCCCCAUAGGGGGUUCAGAUUAUUAAACUGAUUUUUGGUAUCGGGUGGACAUGUGGAGCUUGCUCCCGUCCCGCCACUGGUCGUCCUGGCGUUGCACUAUAGCCAGGCGCGGCCUCCCAGAA
rfam:Harpegnathos saltator strain R22 G/1 HarSal_1.0_3.contig6944, whole genome shotgun sequence.